GCCUCGGUGGUGUAGUGGUGGCACGCGCUCCCGGUAUGGAUGAAUCGCGGGUUCAACUUCCGUCUGAAGUC